rnacentral:rRNA from 1 species
AUACGGAGGGUGCAAGCGUUAAUCGGAAUUACUGGCGUAAAGCGCGCGUAGGCGGCUUGGUCAGUCGGAUGUGAAAGCCCCGGGCUUAACCUGGGAACUGCAUUCGAUACUGCCAGGCUAGAGUAUGGUAGAGGGAAGCGGAAUUUCCGGUGUAGCGGUGAAAUGCGUGGAUAUCGGAAGGAACACCAGUGGCGAAGGCGGCUUCCUGGACCAAUACUGACGCUGAGGUGCGAAAGCGUGGGGAGCAAACAGGAUUAGAAACCCUAGUAGUCC